CUAGUGGAAACUCUGGACUGGGGUACCUGCUGAUGUCCAUCACUACUUCCCUUUCACACGUCUAGAAGAAAUGAACCGCACUUCACAACCCUGCAGCAAUAAUCAGAAUUUCACAUUAAGCUUUUACAUGCAAAUGACCUAAUGAUCUCGAGAGUGUGCAGGUAGGGAAUGGAAACUUCCUGCGUGCCUUAUGGGGAUGUGUGUGUGUGUGUGUGUGUGUAUGGGUGUGUGUUUAGUCUUUCGUUUCUCUACAGUAGCACGCUCUCGUAGCCAGACUUCGUGGUGAACAUCGUCCUGCACGGUUUCUACAGCAGAUCCACUUUAUUUAACCUCUCGUCUGCCACUGGAACGGGUUCUAACCUUCUAAUCUAAAACCUGAAGCUUGCAGGAUUUGUAAUGAAAGUUUUGCUGUUCGAUUCAACAACUCUAUAAUCAACAGGGUCUGCUGUAGUUCACUCGAUGCAAAAAGUACAGAGACAAAGGAAUUAUAUCAUCUAAGCUGUGCUGAAGUGAAGAUGAAGACUUCCUGCCUACAUACGACCCUCCUGCUCCUCUUCCUCCUCGGUGGCGCCCUCCCUGAGAAGCAGUGCAAAGACAACAGCCCAAUAAUUCAGCAAGCGGUGGUGAAAGGCAACGUUUCUGUGCUAUGUCCCAUCUUUACCACAGAAGAAAUGACCUUCAUUCUGCACAGUAGCGCUGAGAACUGCGCUGUGACCAGGAACUUCAGCAUUGCGAGACAUAAGCACCAAGUUUGCGGGACUUCAGCCCUACAUAUCACUCACCAGCUGAAUCCUGAGGACAACAGUACCAAAUUUGUUCUUUACAACGUGACUACAAAUCAGACGGGACUGUACACCUGUACAGCUAAAAAGAUCUUCCCUCCCCCACUGCUGCAUGUUAAAGAGGAGCCUCAAACCAUAGUAAUUGUUCAAGGUAUGGCUGGAUGACAAUCAAGUAUUAAUGAUAUUAUAGAGUAACCAGAGGUAAAGUGCGUAAUGGGGCCAUGCCAUAGUCGCGUUAGGGACAUUUGGAACUUUAUUAUAAACAGGGGAUUGUGUGAAAUGCCGGCCAAAGAACAGCAGUUCCAUCAUCAAUCUGAGGCGGCUCUUAUCAACUCUUAUAUUAUCCAAACUACACAAACAAAACACCAAAAAAUAUUAUACAGCAAAAUCCACAGUUAAUCCUGCAAAAACAACCAAUUAAUCAGCU
rnacentral:lncRNA from 1 species